CCUACGGGAGGCAGCAGUGAGGAAUAUUGGUCAAUGGACGAGAGUCUGAACCAGCCAAGCAGCGUGAAGGAUGACUGCCCUAUGUGUGGUAAACUUCUUUUAUAUGGGAAUAAAUUGUUCUACGUGUGGGAUUUUGUAUGUACCAUAUGAAUAAGGAUCGGCUAACUCCGUGCCAGCAGCCGCGGUAAUACGGAGGAACCGAGCGUUAUCCGGAUUUAUUGGGUUUAAAGGGAGCGUAGGUGGAUUGUUAAGUCAGUUGUGAAAGGUUGCGGCUCAACCGUAAAAUUGCAGUUGAAACUGGCAGUCUUGAGUACAGUAGAGGUAAGCGGAAUUCGUGGUGUAGCGGUGAAAUGCUUAGAUAUCACGAAGAACUCCGAUUGCGAAGGCAGCUCACUGGACUGCAACUGACACUGAGGCUCGAAAGUGUGGGUAUCAAACAGGAUUAGAUACCCUUGUAGUC
rnacentral:rRNA from 1 species